rnacentral:rRNA from 1 species
UGGGGAAUAUUGGACAAUGGGCGCAAGCCUGAUCCAGCAAUGCCGCGUGAGUGAUGAAGGCCCUAGGGUUGUAAAGCUCUUUUACCCGGGAUGAUAAUGACAGUACCGGGAGAAUAAGCCCCGGCUAACUCCGUGCCAGCAGCCGCGGUAAUACGGAGGGGGCUAGCGUUGUUCGGAAUUACUGGGCGUAAAGCGCACGUAGGCGGCUUUGUAAGUUAGAGGUGAAAGCCCGGGGCUCAACUCCGGAAUUGCCUUUAAGACUGCAUCGCUAGAAUUGUGGAGAGGUGAGUGGAAUUCCGAGUGUAGAGGUGAAAUUCGUAGAUAUUCGGAAGAACACCAGUGGCGAAGGCGACUCACUGGACACAUAUUGACGCUGAGGUGCGAAAGCGUGGGGAGCAAACA